rnacentral:rRNA from 1 species
GUGGAUUAGAUACCCUGGUAGUCCACGCCCUAAACGAUGAUGACUAGUUGUUGGAGGAGUUAAAUCCUUUAGUAACGCAGCUAACGCGAGAAGUCAUCCGCCUGGGGAGUACGGUCGCAAGAUUAAAACUCAAAGGAAUUGACGGGGGCCCGCACAAGCGGUGGAUGAUGUGGUUUAAUUCGACGCAACGCGAAAAACCUUACCUACCCUUGACAUGUCAGGAACGCUGCAGAGAUGCAGCGGUGCCCGAAAGGGAGCCUGAACACAGGUGCUGCAUGGUCGUCGUCAACU